rnacentral:tRNA from 1 species
GUAGCUCAGUUGGCAGAGCAAUAGAAAGAGUCGCUUCUGAUUCAUUACCCUGUUAUUUUUUUACACCUUUUUUGACAGGUGUCGUAGGAAAGCGUUACUUCGUUGGAAUCUGCAUACGGGGGUUCGAUUCCCUCUCCGC